GACCCGUCUUGAAACACGGACCAAGGAGUCUAACAUGUGCGCGAGUCAGUGGGUCUCGAAAAAGCCCAGAGGCGCAAUGAGAGCGAAGGGCGGCACCAGCCGCACGAGUCGGGAUCCUCUCGCCCGUCGCGGCGAGGGGCGCACCGGCGACCCGCCCCGUCCGGCUUGCCGGUACGGCGGAGUCUGAGCGCACACGUUGGGACCCGAAAGAUGGUGAACUAUGCCCGGGCAGGACGAAGCCAGAGGAAACUCUGGUGGAGGUCCGUAGCGGUUCUGACGUGCAAAUCGAUCGUCAGAUCCGGGUCUAGGGGCGAAAGACCGAUCGAACUAUCUAGUAGCUGGUUCCCUCCGAAGUUUCCCUCAGGAUAGCUGGCGCUCGUCGCAUUCAGUCUCAUCCGGUAAAGCGAAUGAUUAGAGGCCUUGGGGCCGAAACGACCUCAACCUAUUCUCAAACUUUAAAUGGGUGAGAGAUCCGCCUUGCAUGACUGAAGGCCGGAAUCGACAAGUGGAUGAGAGUGCCCAGUGGGCCACUUUUGGUAAGCAGAACUGGCGCUGUGGG
rnacentral:rRNA from 1 species